rnacentral:rRNA from 1 species
GGUGGAGCGAAUCUAUAAAAGCGGUCUCAGUUCGGAUUGCAGGCUGCAACUCGCCUGCAUGAAGUCGGAAUUGCUAGUAAUCGCGGAUCAGCAUGCCGCGGUGAAUACGUUCCCGGGCCUUGUACACACCGCCCGUCACACCAUGAGAGCCGGUAACACCCGAAGUCCGUAGUCUAACCGCAAGGGGACGCGGCCGAAGGUGGGUUCGAUAAUUGGGGUGAAGUCGUAACAAGGUAAC